GUAUAAAAAAUAGAUCUCUCUCUCUCUCUCUCUCUCUCUCUCUCUCUCUCUGUAUAUGUGUGUGUGUGUGUGUGUGUGUGUGAGAGAGAGAGAGAGAGAGAGAGAGAGAGAGAGAAUAAUGAGGCAU